CUGCCAAUAGUAACAAGAUAUAACCCUACAGUAGUUAAAAAAACAGCAGUUACUAUUGACUAAUCUAUAAAGAUUGUGUUUGCACAUCUCACUUUCCCCUCUCUAUUCCAACAGUACUAUUUAUUCUUUUAUUGAAGUGGAAAAAUACCAUAAUGCAAAUGAAUAUUGAAUAUGAGCAUAACUCUGAAGAAACAGAAAGAAAAUAACUGUAUCGAGAUGAGUUUUAUUUCAAAGCUCGAGGUCAGCACUUGAUAAAGUGAGGGGGAGAGUCCCAGUGGGCUGAAUUAUUGUUAUUCAGUUGGGAGGAUAAAUCAUAAACUUAAAAAGUGCAAUCUAGUCCAAGAAAAUUUAGGAGAGGAAUAAUGAGCAAACAUAUUUCUUAUAAUGCCACACAUUAUAAGAAACUGUUCACACACAAUAAUUAAAAAAUAAAUAAUAAAUAAUCAUCCCCCCUGUUGGACGGCUCUUCAUCUCAAGCUCUGGUCUUCUACCAGUGGCCUGGGAGCUUUUAACUAAACAGGAAAAUUUAAGGAAAAUUUUAACUAAACUGACUACAAAUACAGAACAUACGGUGAGAUCACACUCAUUAUUGCAAUUUCAGUGUGUGCACAAUCUCAAUUCAGAAGACUACUUGAGUGCAUUUUUUAGUAUUUCAUUUCAAUGCACAUUUAUACAUAACACAUUUAUGUCAACAAUAUAUUUAGCCGCUUUUAUAACUUCUCACUGCCUUUGAUAACAUCUUUCUUCAUUUAAUGGCAGAGAUAAGUCAGCUCUUCACUAAGUAAAUAUAAGGAAAAUGUUCUUCAACAACAGCAUAGCAAUUAUCUUUUCUCCUACUAUCGCACAACCCUAGCUUAAAUUUACUCAUUAGUUUAACAGUGAGGCCAAAGUGUGUAGCUCAGUUUGAGUCUCAGAAUAUACGUAUAUCUUUUACAAACUUUUAAAAGUAAUGUCUCUGAAUUUUUCUUUCUUUCCCCCAAAUCCAAGUCUCAGCACUAUACAAUCCUCUCUAAAUUUCACCUGCUGGCGCCAAGAAAUUUCCGCCUCUUGAAAAGUCGUCUUAUUGCAGCGAGUAUCCUCUCCUACUACAUUUGUGUUUCUCUCUUGUAUAUUUAUCUAUAAAUUUUUUCCUGGACCACAGAUGUGCUUCCUUUUGGCAGCUGCACCCUUCGCUGCAUCUGCACUGUUCCUUGGCGCUCGAGGAUUAACGGGGACAAGUGAGAAUAAUUAGGGAUGUAACAACCCAGCCCAACUCGCCAUUCCACCUGCCUAAAAGGAGGGAUGAAGGCGCUUGUUGCUCUCAGGGUGAACAACAUUGCCUGCUCUAAUGUGGCAUCUGGCAAUAGUGAAAUAUCAGAGCAUGGAAGGCAGCCAGAAGGAAGGUGCAGGAAGGAGUGAGGUUCUACCUGGCUGCCACAGGUGCAAUGUGUUGGAGCUCGUCAGCCACCCCAUAAAGAGCUUCAUAACAGAGAUGUGGGAUCCCUUGUUUCCCUGGGCCUUGAUCUGAAGUGAUCUUGUCUGUCUGGUGACUGUUUGUGGGGACUUAAAUGAUACCAUUUAAGAUACCAUUUGCUAGUGAUGGUGAGAUGAAGCCUCAUGAGGCAUUGAACCACUUGAGCCAACUGGUUCGAGAAAGGGUUCAUUUCUUGAAGCUUCAU